UUUUUCUAUGGUCACGAAGAUAGUAUAUAACUAAACUUUUUAAUAACGUUUCUCUCUUUUGCAGAUGCUGGAAUUCAAAAACAUCUCUCUUCAUCGUUGCUACGAGUAAUCACUAAUUUUCUUCAGUUUACAGAAAACUUCUAACAAUAUUUAACCAAGUUUGUAUUUACGACAGAAAAACAAGUUUUUCUCUUCAACAGGUUCGUACAAAACUUGACCGUUACAGGCAAUGCAUGGCCAAAGACUGGAGGGCAAUUGAGAGAAUUCGUGCCCGUAUAUCAUUCCUCUAACAGAAGAAUAAAACACGAAGAAAUGCAACUCAUACGGAGAUAAGCAACAUUAUACCUGGAAUCGGCCGAACACGGGCACCGGUAUCGUGGCGGCACCGACUGAAAUGGCUGGCAGAAGAUGGCUCAAUUUUUUGCUCGAUCGGUUCUAAAUUGAGAUGAAUAAAUGAAUCAAUGGAUACGUAUUUGGUCGAGGCAUCGAUGUGACUAUGGUUUUAGCAGAAGCCUAAGUCCCAUUUACAGAUGGAGACCCUAGUGUUGAUGCUGUCUGGAACAAAUUGGAAACGAUUGAACCAGCAGCAAUGGACAAAAAACCGAAUUGCGAACCAUCUAAAUCCGCUCUACAACCGCAAAGAAGACAAACCAAUUUUCUCCUCUGUCCCUUGACUGAGUAUCUCCCGGAGAUGUCACCGUAACAUACUGUAGGAUAUCGCCUUGGUGCAAACCUUUAUUCUAGCAAGUUGAGAAAAGUCCAAUGGAAAUAUUUUACAGAUAUGGAGUUAUUUAAAAAAUUUGGUUGGAUGAUUGUCUGAUCAAGAAGAGUGGGUAGAUACGAAUGAAAAGGGCGCAUCAAAACACAAAAA